rnacentral:rRNA from 1 species
GACGAACGCUGGCGGCGUGCCUAAUACAUGCAAGUAGAACGCUGAAGAGAGGAGCUUGCUCUUCUUGGAUGAGUUGCGAACGGGUGAGUAACGCGUAGGUAACCUGCCUUGUAGCGGGGGAUAACUAUUGGAAACGAUAGCUAAUACCGCAUAACAAUGGAUGACCCAUGUCAUUUAUUUGAAAGGGGCAAAUGCUCCACUACAAGAUGGACCUGCGUUGUAUUAGCUAGUAGGUGAGGUAACGGCUCACCUAGGCGACGAUACAUAGCCGACCUGAGAGGGUGAUCGGCCGCACUGGGACUGAGACACGGCCCAGACUCCUACGGGAGGCAGCAGUAGGGGAUCUUCGGCAAUGGGGGCAAGCCUGACCGAGCAACGCCGCGUGAGUGAAGAAGGUUUUCGGAUCGUAAAGCUCUGUUGUAAGUCAAGAACGAGUGUGAGAGUGGAAAGUUCACACUGUGACGGUAGCUUACCAGAAAGGGACGGCUAACUACGUG